rnacentral:rRNA from 1 species
AGAUUGAACGCUGGCGGCAGGCCUAACACAUGCAAGUCGAGCGGCAGCACGGGUACUUGUACCUGGUGGCGAGCGGCGGACGGGUGAGUAAUGCCUAGGAAUCUGCCUGGUAGUGGGGGAUAACGCUCGGAAACGGACGCUAAUACCGCAUACGUCCUACGGGAGAAAGCAGGGGACCUUCGGGCCUUGCGCUAUCAGAUGAGCCUAGGUCGGAUUAGCUAGUUGGUGAGGUAAUGGCUCACCAAGGCGACGAUCCGUAACUGGUACUGAGAGGAUGGAUCAGUCAACACUGGAACUGAGACACGGUCCAGACUCCGUACGGGAGGCAGCAGUGGGGAAUAUUGGACAAGUGGGCGAAAGCCUGGAUCCAAGGUCCAUACGCCGCGUGGUGUGAAGAAGGUUCUUCGGAUUGAAGCUAACGUUUAAGUUGGAGGAGGCGUAGUACCUAAGUACGU